ACUACGGUCCCGUGGUUUUUCCUUCUCACAUCGAGAAGGUUUUCCACGUAAAAAUUGUGUGUCUCAUUUAGUUGUCGCAACUUUGAUAUCUUGCCAUCGUCGAAGUAUUUUCCUCACAGGUUCGCACAAGGUCAGGGGAACACGACCAUUAGUAUUUCCGCUGCGCCGUGUGACUUUCCCCAACAAGAUCCGGCCUCGAUGCUGAGCUUCUUAAUCUCCGGCUUUUUAUCCACCUUCAUAGUUUUAGGAAGUUUACUUUCAUGUGUUUGUUUUGAUCGUUGGAGUUUUGUAAGUUGGAGUCAUUGUUUGUGCGAAAACAGGGUGAAACGACCUAAGAAUAUUUCUCUUUUGAUCGUAGUAAAUGAAUGUGUACAACGUCAUUUAUAUUGGUAAAUGUAUCAACUGGUGGUUAGCUCAAUCAGUGGUUAGCUCGUCGUCUUCUACCCAUUGAACAUUAAGGGAAAUUUCUUUUACCCAUUGAACAUUAAGGAAAAUUUUAGUUCCAAUUUGGUUUAAUGAUCUCUUUUAAAGGAAAUAGAUUGUGAAAAAGAAGUAAAAUCCAAAUUUUCAUAUUACGCGUGU
rnacentral:lncRNA from 1 species